CUGUGUUGCUUAGGGUCUGAUCCUGCACCGCUGAAGUCAAUGGAAGUUUUGUCAUUGACUUCAAUAGGAGCAGGAUUUGAACCUUAUGC
rnacentral:miRNA from 1 species